rnacentral:rRNA from 1 species
CCUACGGGCGGCUGCAGUGGGGAAUAUUGGACAAUGGGGGGAACCCUGAUCCAGCCAUGCCGCGUGUGUGAAGAAGGCCCUCGGGUUGUAAAGCACUUUCAGUGAGGAAGAACGCCUGGUGGUUAAUACCCAUCAGGAAAGACAUCACUCACAGAAGAAGCACCGGCUAACUCCGUGCCAGCAGCCGCGGUAAUACGGAGGGUGCGAGCGUUAAUCGGAAUUACUGGGCGUAAAGCGCGCGUAGGUGGCUUGAUAAGCCGGUUGUGAAAGCCCCGGGCUCAACCUGGGAACGGCAUCCGGAACUGUCGAGCUAGAGUGCAGCAGAGGAAGGUAGAAUUCCCGGUGUAGCGGUGAAAUGCGUAGAGAUCGGGAGGAAUACCAGUGGCGAAGGCGGCCUUCUGGACUGAAACUGACACUGAGGUGCGAAAGCGUGGGUAGCAAACAGGAUUAGAUACCCUGGUAGUC